rnacentral:rRNA from 1 species
UACGGAGGGUGCAAGCGUUAUCCGGAUUCACUGGGUUUAAAGGGUGCGUAGGAGGGCAGGUAAGUCAGUGGUGAAAUCUCCAAGCUUAACUUGGAAACUGCCGUUGAUACUAUCUGUCUUGAAUACCGUGGAGGUGAGCGGAAUAUGUCAUGUAGCGGUGAAAUGCUUAGAUAUCGGGAGGAACACCAGUGGCGAAGGCGGUUACCUGGAGCUUUGCUGACGCUGAUGCGCGAAAGCGUGGGGAGCGAUCCGG